GCAUCAGUGGUCUAACGGUUAUGAUGCGACCUUCCCAUCUGCUAACUGACUCAAUUGCGAGGUCGCGAACGGGGUUCGACUCCCCGCUGAUGCA